UAGGAGUUCGGCGCGCAAUUAGCAAAUGAUGAAAGGUUAGAUUUCGCUGCGAUCUACCCACUGACGGUCCCCGUGCUCCCUCCUGUCCUGCAGCCCUCGCUUCUCCGGCUCCCCUUCGCUCCUGGGGAUUCCUGACACGCAGCAAACUGUGCUCGGAUUUCAGCCCUCCGAAUGCAAGCAGCGCCUUUUCAUCAUCCCAGCUCCAGUGAAUCAACCCCAGAUUACAGCGCACCAUCAAUCAUCUACCACCUAUACCAACGGCGAGGCUUCUGCAAACACAACUGGCAGCAGAACGCCGGAGAUUGUCGAUGUUUUUUGAGCAACCACCUUUCCUGUUACAAGUCUCCAUUUCUGGAGCUUCCCAAUGAUUCACAAUGGAAAUAGCUCCACAGCCUGAGGAUCCUAACCCUGGGCCUCAACCUCCAUCAGCAACAGCCAGCCUGAUCCUCAGGGAUCCAAGGUGGAUCCACAGACCUUCAAGGGACAAAGAACCUGAGAUGUAAACUGGUACAAUAGUUAUAUUGCACCACCUCGAUGUCAUAAACAGGUGACAUCCUUAGCUGUUCCUGGGUCAAAACCAGGUGAAACUUGCCACGUGGGGUUCUCUUGGUUUAUUCUAGAUGAAGGCAAGCAAGUAGGGACCUCACCUACAAUCUGCCAGUGGGUUUUCCCUGGACAAGACAGUAGGACUCCCUGUACACACUGUCUUCUAGCUCGUUAACUACAACAUGGGUGAGCCUGACCCAGGCCUGGUCGUUUUUCCAAAAGUCUCACAAAGUCGGUGGGUGGAGUUUGGGAGGUGGGGGUGGUAGUGUUUUGGGGAUUUUUUUAUUCCAUCUUCUCACAAAUUCUCAUGACUAGAAUCCCACAUGCCCUUUUUUCCUUUUUCUUAAAGCAUAGUUUCUGGCCACUUCUGGUGCAAAUAAAGGCUUGAAUAAUAAGCCCCAAAAGCUCAAAAAAAAAAAAA